GGGGCCGUGGAUUAGUGGAAAAAAAAAGUAUUUCGCUUGAUUGGAAAAGGCCGCGGGUUCAAUUCCCGCCGGCUCCA
rnacentral:tRNA from 1 species